rnacentral:tRNA from 1 species
UCCAGUGUGUCAUAGUGGUUUGAGCAUUGAACUAGGACUCUGGAGACCAGGGUUCAAUUCCUCGCUCUGGUC